rnacentral:lncRNA from 1 species
CAUUUAUGUAUAUUAGGGACUCCCUUGCACGAGUACAAGGUCUCCCUUAGCCUAAUCUAGGCUUAAUACCCUAUUUUGGCAUAAAAUUUCUUAUUUUCCCACCUGGAUGAACAGUAACCCGGACCGAUAGCCGGUUACUUCAUCCCGGGUUUGAUCCACUUUCCAAACUCCAGAUUUGAUGAAAUUUUUACCUAACAUUCUACACUCAUAGGAGAUUCUAAAGAGGUAACAUGCAUUGCUAUCGGAGGUCGUUUGACCCCCUAAAUAAUUCGCCGAAGUUGGGACUUCGACACAAUUUUUCCGUAGUGCCGGAAAAAUUUGUCAAAAUCCGAUUCUUCCUCUUUUAACC